AUUGAACGCUGGCGGCAGGCCUAACACAUGCAAGUCGAGCGGAUGAAGGGAGCUUGCUCCUGGAUUCAGCGGCGGACGGGUGAGUAAUGCCUAGGAAUCUGCCUGGUAGUGGGGGAUAACGUCCGGAAACGGGCGCUAAUACCGCAUACGUCCUGAGGGAGAAAGUGGGGGAUCUUCGGACCUCACGCUAUCAGAUGAGCCUAGGUCGGAUUAGCUAGUUGGUGGGGUAAAGGCCUACCAAGGCGACGAUCCGUAACUGGUCUGAGAGGAUGAUCAGUCAAACUGGAACUGAGACACGGUCCAGACUCCUACGGGAGGCAGCAGUGGGGAAUAUUGGACAAUGGGCGGAAGCCUGAUCCAGCCAUGCCGCGUGUGUGAAGAAGGUCUUCGGAUUGUAAAGCACUUUAAGUUGGGAGGAAGGGCAGUAAGUUAAUACCUUGCUGUUUUGACGUUACCAACAGAAUAAGCACCGGCUAACUUCGUG
rnacentral:rRNA from 1 species